rnacentral:rRNA from 1 species
GCGAGUGAAGCGGCAAAAGCUCAAAUUUGAAAUCUAGCACCUUCGGUGUUCGAGUUGUAAUUUGAAGAUGGUAACCUUGGGUUUGGCUCUUGUCUAUGUUCCUUGGAACAGGACGUCAUAGAGGGUGAGAAUCCCGUCUGAUGAGAUGCCCAUUCCUAUGUAAGGUGCUAUCGAAGAGUCGAGUUGUUUGGGAAUGCAGCUCUAAGUGGGUGGUAAAUUCCAUCUAAAGCUAAAUAUUGGCGAGAGACCGAUAGCGAACAAGUACAGUGAUGGAAAGAUGAAAAGAACUUUGAAAAGAGAGUGAAAAAGUACGUGAAAUUGUUGAAAGGGAAGGGCAUUAGAUCAGACUUGGUGUUUUACGAUUAUCUUCUCUUCUUGAGUUGUGCACUCGUAUUUCACUGGGCCAGCAUCGAUUCGGAUGGCAAGAUAAUGGCAGUUGAAUGUGGCUUCACUUCGGUGGAGUGUUAUAGCUUCUGCUGAUAUUGCCUGUCUGGAUCGAGGGCUGCGUCUUUUGACUAGGAUGCUGGCGUAAUGAUCUAAUGCCGCCC